rnacentral:rRNA from 1 species
AUUGAACGCUGGCGGCAUGCUUUACACAUGCAAGUCGAACGGCAGCGCGGGCUUCGGCCUGGCGGCGAGUGGCGAACGGGUGAGUAAUGCAUCGGAACGUGCCCAGUAGUGGGGGAUAGCCCGGCGAAAGCCGGAUUAAUACCGCAUACGACCUGAGGGUGAAAGCGGGGGACCGAAAGGCCUCGCGCUAUUGGAGCGGCCGAUGUCGGAUUAGCGAGUUGGUGGGGUAAAGGCUUACCAAGGCGACGAUCCGUAGCUGGUCUGAGAGGACGACCAGCCACACUGGGACUGAGACACGGCCCAGACUCCUACGGGAGGCAGCAGUGGGGAAUUUUGGACAAUGGGGGCAACCCUGAUCCAGCCAUGCCGCGUGAGGGAAGAAGGCCUUCGGGUUGUAAACCGCUUUUGUUCGGGAAGAAAUCCUCUGGGCUAAUACCCCGGGGGGAUGACGGUACCGGAAGAAUAAGCACCGGCUAACUACGUG